rnacentral:lncRNA from 1 species
GGUGAAGUCAAGACUGUUUUGGAUACUACUCCAAUGAUUUUAUUGGCCAUACAUGUAAACAAAGAUAAUGAAGUAAUAGUCGGAAUUAGAGAACAAGGACCAGCGUUUCCGGUCCAGGAUUUUUCGGUCAGACAAGUUAUAAUUUUCAAUAGUGAUUAUGAACGGAAAUUUACAUUAGAAUUCGACAAAAAAGGAAAUAAACUGUUCAGUUAUGCAUUGCACAUUCGCACCGAUUCUAAAAAUAUUGCCUAUGUUGUUGAUUGUUUAGACAGACAUAAAAAUGGUAGAAUAGUAGCUGUAGAUAUAAAUGGCCGCAUUAAGUUUACCUAUGACGGACAAAAGAAUUUAGUAACCUUCAAACCACAUGCAAUUACUGUAACGCAAAGUGACAACAUUGUUGUUGCAGAUUAUAGUAACGAUGCGCUUCAUGUUAUCAAUUCGAACGGAGAUUUACUUGGACUUCAGUUCAUUUGUAAAGACUUUGGAAUAACUGAACUAUAUAGUUUAUGCUUUGACUCUGAUGGAUAUUUAUUAAUUGGUUGUGGAAAAGCCAAACAUGAAAACAACGGAAAAAUACAUGUCGCUAAAACCAUAGAUAGUCUGAAGUGAUAUGUUCGGUUGUAAAUUGAAAUUUGAAAUGAUUGAAUAUAAUAAAAGGCGA